rnacentral:lncRNA from 1 species
CAGUUUCCUGUAGCUGAAGCGCGAAUUCGAGAUUCCACAACACAUCUCCCAUCGUCGGCCGAUCUAAUCCGCUAUCGGAGAGGCAUUUCUCCGCCGUAUCUGCAAAUUUCUUCAAACAUUCCGGAUUGAUCUUCCCUUUCAGGUUAGGAUCGACUAUUUCCUCUAGAGUCCCUUUUCGUUUGCAAUUCAUCGCCCAAUCUCCGAGACUCACCUGUUCCUUGGGCAAGCUAGGGUUCAAAGCCGGCCUCGCGCAUAAGAUCUCGAAUAGAACAACACCGAAAGAGUAAACAUCUGAUUUCUCAGUCAAUUGUUGUCUUCUAAAGUAUUCUGGAUCUAAAUAUCCGAAACUUCCCUUGACGACAGUCGUCACAUGGCCUCCGUUCAUAUUCGGCCCGGUUUUGGAUAAACCGAAAUCGGAAACUUUCGCAACCCAAGUCUCGUCGAGCAAGAUGUUUGUGGUUUUCACGUCACGGUGUAUAAUCGUGUACUUUGCUCCUGUGUGAAGGUAAUGGAGUCCUCUCGCAGCUCCAAUGGCGAUCUCUAGCCUUCGUUUCCAAGUCAGUUGAGGCCUCUUCGUGUUGUAGAGAUGCUCCCUGAGUGUUCCAAGGGCCAUGUAAUCGUAUAUCAGACACAUUUCUCCUCCGUCGUCGCAGUAUCCGAUCAAGGACACCAAGUGUUUGUGCCUUAGCCUCGAGAGAAGCUCGAUUUCCGUCUCGAAUUCGUUUAGGCCUUGUUCUGAGUUCGGGUUUGAUUUCUUGAUUGCCACUUUUGUGCCUCCAUCUAUAACUCCUUUGUAUACUUUACCAAACCCUCCCACUCCAAUUACGUUUGACUCGUCGAAAUUUUGUGUCCCGUGUUUGAUUUCAGGCAGUGAGAAUCUUCUGCAUAAACCCGCUGCGAGAUUAGAUAGGUGGCUUCCGUUGUUGCUCUUACCAGAUAUAGUAGAUUUUGUUGCAGAUGUGUGGGAGUUUCCGUAAAUAGGAAGCCAGCUCGAUGUGUAGGAUUCGCUUCCAGGG